rnacentral:rRNA from 1 species
UUAGCCAUGCAUGCUCUGUGAACCGAAUGGGGAACGGCGGACGGCUCAGUAAUGUUGCGAUGAUCUGCUCUAGUUGUGUAAGAUAACCGCGGAAACCUGUGGCUAAGAGACUAGAAUGAGACGCAACCCUAUCAGUUUGUUGGUAGUGUAACGGACUACCAAGACUAUGACGGGUGACGGGAAAUCAGUGUUUGAUUCCGGAGAGGGAGCCUGAGAGAUGGCUCCCACGUCCAAGGAUGGCAGCAGGCGCGAAAAUUGUCCACUCUUUGUUGAGGAGACAGUUAUGAGGCGUGAUUGUAAGAGCGAAGAGUAAACAUCUUUGUGUAAUGCAACUAGAGGGCAAGUUUUGGUGCCAGCAGCCGCGGUAACUCCAACUCUAGAAGUGCCUAUUGUGGAUGCUGCAGUUAAAAAGUCCGUAGUCGUUGAUGCAAUUAAAAGGUGUAGAUCAAGUGCACCAAGUUUGUUAGUUGUGGCGGAGCGGACAGGGAGCAUGGUAUAGGUUGGCGAAGAAUGAAAUCUCAAGACCCAACCUGGACCAACUGAGGCGAAAGCGGUGCUCUUGUACGCGUCUGUGGAUCAAGGACGAAGGCUAGAGGAUCGAAAGUGAUUAGACACCGCUGUAGUUCUAGCAGUAAACUAUGCCGACAUUCUCUGUUGUUGAGACGGGGAGGGGAGAAAUCUUAGUUUUCGGGCUCUGGGGAUAGUACGCUUGCAAGAGUGAAACUUAAAGCGAAAUUGACGGAAGAUCACCACAAGGAGUGGAUUGUACUGCUUAAUUUGACUCAACACGGGAAAACUUACCAGGGCCAAGUCUCUCGUAGAUUGGCGACAUGAGAGGGGCAAGAGUGGUGCAUGGCCGUUGGAAAUUGAUGGGAUGACCUUUAGCUUAAGUGCUGUAACCAGUGAGAUCUUCUAGACAGGUGUCUUACUGACACAGGAAGGAGAAGGCUAUAACAGGUCCGUGAUGCCCUCAGAUGCCCUGGGCCGCAAGUGCAAUACAAUAUCCGUUUGAGCGACAUAAAUAUGCUUACGGAUGAGUAGGAUUAGCUCUUGUAAAUGAGCUAUGAAUGAGGAAUUCCUAGUAACUGUGUCUCAUCAAGGCACAGUGAAUGCGUCCCUGUUCUUUGUACACACCGCCCGUCACUAUUGCGGAUGGCAAUCAAGAUGAAGAGCCUAGGUUCUGAAUAUUGAUCGUUAGACAUAAUACAAGUCGUAACAAGGUA